rnacentral:lncRNA from 1 species
AUCCUGACUCUGCUUGGCCAAGCUUCUUACCUCUUCCUGGGUUUAGCUUGCACUUUCUUCUCAGGUGUCUCACCUCUGAGGUAGAAAAAACCCAUGGGUCUGUCUACUGCACGAAAUCUAAACCUGUAUCCUGCCCACUUUUCACGAUGACCCACUGUUGGAGCAAUAGAGGUACAGUAAAUAACACCCCAUGUCCCCCCUCCUAUGUUUGGAACCAAUCGAUAAUCAAGAUACAGAGACAGGUGGUUAAACCAUCAACUUUAGACAGACUUACUCAUCACGAGUAGUACUGAGCACCCCCGGCCAUCCAUCACAGUAGAGAGCCUGCUUUUAUUAGAUUUUUUCUCAUGUAUGAGCAGGUUGAAUGCAUGUGUCCUGUGGGCAGGUCAGCCCUGGAUAAAAAAAGAAAACCAACAAAUAACUGGAAGAGGCUGAGCUGGGCAUGCUCAGUGCUGUCUCUUCAGCUCACUAAUCAGGUACAGUGAGAGAGGGGGUGUGGAGAGAGGCCAGGAAUAGUACUCUGCUCAGCGGUUCUCAAACUUCAGUGAGUGUCUGUCACCUCACCUGAAGGGCUUGUGAAAACAAGCUUGUAACAGGUUCCAGGUGAUGCUGACACUGCUGGUCCAGGGACCACACUUUAAAAACCAAAGCUCCUGCUGAAGCCCUUCCACAUGUAAAGAUGAAGUGAGGGGAACAAAGGUGCCCUUUUAACAUUUACCUUCAUUUAAUGAAACAUUUAGAUUAAAAUACCAUUGUUAAGUCUUUCACAGUGGGGAAAUCAUAGUGAAUCAUUUCAUAAUGUAUGUGUAUAUCAAAUCACCACAAUGUCCACUUUACAUAGCUUUACAAUUUUAUAUGUCAGUUAUACUUCCUCACUAAAGCUGAAAUAAAAAAAUAAAACACUACGGUUAUCUGUGUGUC